UACGUAGGGCGCAAGCGUUAUCCGGAAUUAUUGGGCGUAAAGAGCUCGUAGGCGGUUUGUCGCGUCGGCUGUGAAAGCCCGGGGCUCAACUCCGGGUCUGCAGUGGAUACGGGCAGACUAGAGUGAUGCAGGGGAGACUGGAAUUCCUGGUGUAGCGGUGAAAUGCGCAGAUAUCAGGAGGAACACCGAUGGCGAUGGCAGGUCUCUGGGCAUUAACUGACGCUGAGGAGCGAAAGCGUGGGGAGCGAACAGG
rnacentral:rRNA from 1 species